rnacentral:rRNA from 1 species
GAUGAACGCUGGCGGCGUGCCUAACACAUGCAAGUCGAACGGAAAGGCUCCUGCUUGUGGGGGCACUCGAGUGGCGGACGGGUAAGUAACCCGCGGGUGACCUGCCCUGGAGUUUGGGAUAAGGCUAGGAAACUGGGUACCAUACAGGAUAGGACCACAUAAUGGAUGGUGUGGAGGACAGUUCUUCGGUGUGGGUUGGGCUGGCGGCCUAUCGGUUUGGUGGUGGGGAAAUGGCCUAACAAGGCGUCGACGGGUAGCCGGCCGGGGAGGGGGGACGGCGCCAUUGGGACUAAGAGACGGCCCAGUCUGCUACUGUAGGCAGCAGUGGGGAAUAUUGCACAAUGGGGGCAAGCCUGAUGCAACGGCGCCGCGUGGGUGAUGACGGCCUUCGCGUUGUAAACUGCUUUCGCUAAAUACGAAGCGCAAGUGACGGUACCUGAAGAAGAAGCACCGGCUAACUACGUG